AUUGAACGCUGGCGGCAGGCUUAACACAUGCAAGUCGAGCGGGGUGAUGGUGCUUGCACUAUCACUUAGCGGCGGACGGGUGAGUAAUGCUUAGGAAUCUGCCUAUUAGUGGGGGACAACAUCUCGAAAGGGAUGCUAAUACCGCAUACGUCCUACGGGAGAAAGCAGGGGAUCACUUGUGACCUUGCGCUAAUAGAUGAGCCUAAGUCGGAUUAGCUAGUUGGUGGGGUAAAGGCCUACCAAGGCGACGAUCUGUAGCGGGUCUGAGAGGAUGAUCCGCCACACUGGGACUGAGACACGGCCCAGACUCCUACGGAGGCAGAAGUGGGGAAUAUUGGACAAUGGGGGGAACCCUGAUCCAGCCAUGCCGCGUGUGUGAAGAAGGCCUUAUGGUUGUAAAGCACUUUAAGCGAGGAGGAGGCUCUUUUGGUUAAUACCCAAGAUGAGUGGACGUUACUCGCAGAAUAAGCACCGGCUAACUCUGUGCCAGCAGCCGCCGUAA
rnacentral:rRNA from 1 species